CCUAGCACCUCAUCUGUUCGCAAAACCAGUAGAGAAAAGAGGAGCAGACCGCCGAAUAUGGAAGAAAAAGAAGAAGAAGGAGCAAAGCGCAGAAAGAAAGAUCAAGAGGACAAAGAACAUGGGCUGGAAGGCAUAGAAGGGGAGAUCCUCAGCUAGUUCAAGAGGGAUAUUGACCAGCAAACACCAAUGACUACAAACUAGAUCUGGACGGCGAACUGUGAACAGUUAUCUCCUUCAUUUGUAGGUCAAUAGUGGAGAGAUAUCAUUUCUGGCAGCAGAGAGUAGAAGGCACUUCCAAGACUAGACAGAUCAAGAAGAACUCUUUUUGGUUACCACCAAGUCAAGGGCUUAUGAAAAUCAAUGUUGAUGGUGGUUUUUUGGAGGCAACUCCAAGCUUCCUUUGGCUUCAUAAUUAGAGACUAUCAGAGUUGCUGCUGGGGUGCAGGUUUUGGACCAAUUAAGGCUUCAUCGCCUCUCAAAGCGGAAGCUCAAGCCCUUCUAGAAGCAAUCCUUUUUGCAGAUAGGAUGAAUCUUUCAGACCUCUGUUUUGAAUCAGAUUGUGAUUAUCUCGUUAAAAUGAUCAAUGCUACAGAAGGUUAUGAAGAUCCAGAUACCAUCUUUUGUUGCAAGGAUGUCCAAAAAGUCAUAUCUAGAAGGAAUUACAAGAUUCAGUUCUCUCCGAGGAAAGCAAAUCAAACAGCUCAUGUGGCGGCCAAAUGUGGCUAUUCAGGGGUCUUUUUAAAUCCAGCUCUGCAAGUCCUUUUUGUCUCUCUAAUGUAGUAAAUAUAGACUGGCUUUUUGUAAUCGGACUUGUUAGUAUGGUGUGCUUGUGUUUUUCUGUUUUUUUCCUUUUACCUUUCUUGUUUCUGUUAACAGUGGAGCCUGUAUGUGUAUGUGCCUGUCCUUCUUGUUGUUUUCUCUGUAUUUUUAAUGAAAUAUUAUCAGUUAUUCACCCAAAAAAAAAA